UCUGCUCUUAGAGCGUAUUCAUGCCCUUUUUUAAGACAAAGAAAGAGGAGAUCAUUGAGAAUGCCUGAGUAGUUGAAUUCAUAGAAAAAGCCCUACGUUGGUAAGUGGGACUUGAAGGGCAGGGGAAGGUCCUGCCUCCAAGAGAACGACGGUGAGCAAGAAUAUGUGAAAGAAACAGCAGAGGCACGAGCCCAGCUGUGAGAGGCAAAUGUUUUCCAUACAUCUGAUGAAGAGCAAACAAAAUCUAUUUUCUGUUUCUUUGUCCUUCCCAGAAUGUCAAAGGGAUAUAAAUAUGGUAUAAAUUUGUUACUGGAAUUGUAAGCAGACGGGAACUUUAGCUGCAGUUCCAUUUCUGAAAUCAACAGGGCUUAUGGACUCAGAGAGAACUAGUUAUUCCCCCGUACAUCCUCCUCUCCCAACUCCCUGAAAAAGAAUCUUGCUCAGUGGAUGUGUGCAGCAGGAGAUGGGUAGCUAGACAUUAGCCAGCAUGGUGGGUCCUUGGCCUCUGUAACUACAGCUGUCACCCACAGGCCUCAUCUUACUGCUGGUGGCCUGUCCCUUAAGCACCAGAUGGAAGAUUAUUUUGCAGAUAAUGUAAAGAUUACUUUGGAGAAUGGCGCUGGGGGCCGUUAUCUGGUUAAGUGAUUGGGGGAGAAUGGAAAGAAUUGAGCAAUUCCUCCGUUUUGGAACAAGAUUAUUCUGAGAUGGAAAAAUGUCAGAUAAUACAACUACCCAGACCAGAAUCUUCUGUUUCUUGAGAUUUUGGAAAGGAGGACAGUGGGCAAAGAAAAAGAGGGACAUAUUUUCUCUUAGAGUCAAAUGAUAAGAAAAACAAUUAUGAGAGAUGGUUCUAUGGGAAAAAAACCAGCUUAUAGACCAUGUUUCAAGAUAGAAAGCAUCUCGUUUAUACACUUACACUACUUCACAUGGAUCUGCAAAGCAGAUAAAGCUAUAUUUAAAAAACUAAACUUAAGAUCUACAAGAAUCUUAAUUUAAAAAAAAAGCAAUGAUUGUUCUGUGAUUAAAUGAAUCACACCAAAUGAAAAAGCUAAUACUAUAAAACUUCUAGGAGAAAAUCUUUGUGAGCUUGGGUUAGACCAAGAUUUCUAAGACUCAGCAACCAAAAGGAUAAAUGAUAAAACAAAACAAAACAAACAAACAAAAAAAUCAACUGGACUCGUCAACCCUGAAAAAAAAAAAAAAGAAG
rnacentral:lncRNA from 1 species